rnacentral:lncRNA from 1 species
CAAAUGUACAGCAUAAAAGGGGGACAGGAAUUAAGGGGAAGGUACAGCAAAUCAGGAGCAGGAAAAGGAGGUAAUAUCUGAAACAUGGGUGGGUGCUGUGGGGGCGGACAGCCCGUGGUGAUGUCCCCAAGCAACAGGCUGUGACAUCACCGGGUGACGGAUUGUGACAGCAUAGCCCUCACUGCUCAUAGUGGGGUGCUGGCAGGGCCUGGCUCAGUCUGGCUCGUUCCUGGACCCUGCUGAGCAGCUCUGCGAGGCUUGGAGGUCGAGCAAGGUUUUGGCUGUGCUGUACUGGUCGUGCCUGGGGCUGCUUGCUGCAUCUCAGUGCCUGACCCUGCAGUAUUGCUUCUGUUUCCUGGCCCUGCCUUGUGCAGGCAGCCGGGACACUACCGAGUGCACCCGCAGCAGUGGAGAGUGAGACACCACUGCUGUAGCUCCGGCGGUGGAGAACAACUCAUCAUCCUCAGUUCUCCCUGCCCACUGCAGCAAGAAGAUCAUGGCUGCAGAGGCAUGGAAAUGUCCCGUCUGCCGCGAUGUGCGACAGGAUGUUGCCUAUACAACUCCAUGCAAUCACAUGUUCUGCCUUGGCUGCAUCCAGCGGUGGGCAAGGCUGAGGGACAGCUGCCCGCUGUGCAGGACAGCUAUGCAGACCAUCCGGGUCUCUGUGAGGGGAGACAAUCAGUACGUGGAGUGCAUUGUCUCCCC